rnacentral:rRNA from 1 species
GACGAACGCUGGCGGCGUGCCUAAUACAUGCAAGUCGAGCGGAGNNGAUGGAGUGCUUGCNCUCCUGAUGCUUAGCGGCGGACGGGUGAGUAAUACGUAGGUAACCUGCCCUUAAGACCGGGAUAACUCACGGAAACGUGGGCUAAUACCGGAUAGGCGAUUUCCUCGCAUGAGGGAAUCGGGAAAGGCGGAGCAAUCUGCCACUUAUGGAUGGACCUACGGCGCAUUAGCUAGUUGGUGGGGUAACGGCUCACCAAGGCGACGAUGCGUAGCCGACCUGAGAGGGUGAUCGGCCACACUGGGACUGAGACACGGCCCAGACUCCUACGGGAGGCAGCAGUAGGGAAUCUUCCGCAAUGGACGCAAGUCUGACGGAGCAACGCCGCGUGAGUGAUGAAGGUUUUCGGAUCGUAAAGCUCUGUUGCCAGGGAAGAACGCUAUGGAGAGUAACUGUUCCAUAGGUGACGGUACCUGAGAAGAAAGCCCCGGCUAACUACGUGCCAGCAGCCGCGGUAAUACGUAGGGGGCAAGCGUUGUCCGGAAUUAUUGGGCGUAAAGCGCGCGCAGGCGGUCAUGUAAGUCUGGUGUUUAAACCCGGGGCUCAACUCCGGGUCGCAUCGGAAACUGUGUGACUUGAGUGCAGAAGAGGAAAGUGGAAUUCCACGUGUAGCGGUGAAAUGCGUAGAGAUGUGGAGGAACACCAGUGGCGAAGGCGACUU